GUAGUAUUCCCUCCGUCCCAAAAUUCUUGUCUUACAUUUGUUUAGAUACAGAUGUAUCUAACACUAAAAUGUAACUAGAUACAUCCGCAUUUAGACAAAUUUAAGACAAGAAUUUUGGGACGGAGGGAGUACAAA
rnacentral:pre_miRNA from 1 species